UAUGCACUUUCCAGUACAUCUACUAUGUUACGACUUAUCUCUCCUUAGAGAGAGAGUGACGGGCGAUAUGUACACAUCCUAUUACCUUAUUCAAAAAAUUAUUCUUAAAUUUUUUUACUAACAAAUCCACCUUCAGAGAAAAUUUAAUUUCUUAUCCGUAAUUUCUUAAAAAAUUGUAGCUCAUCAUUACCUUUAUAUUAACUGCACCUUGACCUGAAGUAAAAAAAUUAUUUUUAUUGAAAACAUUCUUAUAAAGUAAUCUGACAACGGAGGUAUACAAGCUUCACAAAAAAGGAAAGAUAUAACGGGGGUUAUCGAUUACAAGACAAGCUCCUCUGUUUGGUUAGGAUGCCGCCAAAACCUUUGGGUUUGAAGAACAACUUUUACUACCCUCGAAAAUAAUCUAAAAAUAGCAGGGUCUCUAAUCCUGGUUUCUCCUUUUAAAUUUUUUAAAUCCAUAUAUUUGAAAAAGUCAAAAUAUAUUAUUAUAUAAAUUUCACCUAAAAAAUAAAGAUAUUUUUACUAUAAAAAAAUAACAGUUAAUUAAAUUUAACAGCCUACUUUACUUGAACUCUUCGUCUAACCGCGACCGGUGGCACGAUU
rnacentral:rRNA from 1 species